rnacentral:rRNA from 1 species
CCUACGGGAGGCAGCAGUGAGGAAUAUUGGUCAAUGGGCGGAAGCCUGAACCAGCCAAGUCGCGUGAGGGAUGAAGGCCCUGCGGGUCGUAAACCUCUUUUGCCGGGGAGCAGAGGUCCGGACGUGUCCGGGCCGGGAGAGGACCCGGAGAAAAAGCAGCGGCGAACUCCGUGCCAGCAGCCGCGGUAAUACGGAGGAUGCGAGCGUUAUCCGGAUUGAUUGGGUUGAAAGGGUGCGUAGGCGGGCAUUUAAGCCGGCGGUCAAAUGUCGGGGCUCAACCCCGGCCUGCCGUCGGAACUGGGUGCCUUGAGUGGGCGAGAAGUCUGCGGACUGCGUGGUGUAGCGGUGAAAUGCAUAGAUAUCACGCAGAACCCCGAUUGCGAAGGCAGCAUACCGGCGCCCUACUGACGCUGCGGCACGAAAGUGCGGGUAUCGAACAGGAUUAGAUACCCUUGUAGUC